rnacentral:lncRNA from 1 species
GUCAUUUACCUACCUUCAAAUAUUUUAUAGCUUGGAUUACGACAUCCCUCUUCCAACUAUAAAUAGUUUGUUGGAUCCUAGCCUUAAUAUUUCAUUUAGGUGACUUAUUAAGGACUCUUUAUCUAAUAAAACUUGUCUUUCUUUCUUUCAGAUGUCUUCCAAGACUGCUACUGGCUCAAACCCUACAGGCUCUUUUUCCCUAAUGAACUUGUGUGGGAAAGUCACUUUUGAUGGUUCCAAUUUCAAUGAAUGGAUUAGGUGUUAGGUUUAGAUCAAUCUAACACUCCUAAGUGUACAUGCGACCCUAAAUACCUUGGAUCUAUGUUUUCUUAUUAUACAUGCNUUUCCGAGGUAUUCAUCCUAACUAGCAUAAUAACAUUGAUUCAUAUGAAUAUAUCAAGUUAGAAUUACAUACCUCUUUGAUGUAGAAUGUCUUCAUGCAGAUUGAGUGCCUAGUGCCCAAAGUGUGACACCUCAAAUGGUUCACACAACACCAAAUACACUUGGAAUAGAUUAGAGAGAAAUCCACACUUCAUAAAAUCGGCUAGCCCUUUCACAUAUACUCUAGUGCCGAUUUUUUUCACCAAUAAGAUCUUUAUAUAGUGUCAUAAUUAGGGUAAGCCCUAAUUGUCAUGGCUUUCCAUUUCCUUGGAUCCAUGGGUUCAAAUACACCAUGGAGCAUCCUAUGGGUUUUAGCCCAACUUGAUAAUCCAUGGAGCAUUAGCCCACUAUACAAGUAUGGAUGAUUUACACAAUCAACCCAUAUAUUUAAUUAGUCUUCUUUUGAUCACUUAAUUAAUCCUAGAUUAAUUCUUGAUCAAUACUAAUUAAAUAAUCUUAUUAAUAUAUUAGAACUUAUAAUAUAUUAACAAACCUUAAGUGUUAUUUCUCUCAUUAUAGUCUAUCCAAAUGCAUGAUGCCAUGCAACCCAAAUGGACCAUGCCGGGUCGGGUCAAGUCUUACCAAUUAUAGUUAUGGACUUAGACAUUAAUCCAACAGUCUCCCACUUGGAUAAGUCUAAAACUAUUAUUGCAAGUAUGACUUCAAGAACCGACUGGCAAUCGUAGCUCUCAAAAGCUUCUGUCGAACUCUGACCUUGUCGAUGAACUCUGACCUUUGUCAAUGACUUGUCCAUUAGAUAAGGGAUCAUAUAUUCCUCCAUUCUAGAUAUCAUAUGGACUGAGACAUGGAUUAUAAUCAUUCUCUCUGUCCAUUUGUUGUUUCCCGAUUUCCGAUUUAUGACGACUGACUAAUUGAACAAAUCAAAUCAGUCCUGGCCCGGCCGAGCACUUCCAUUUGUCAUCAUCAAAUCAUCGAGGGGCCCACAGAUAUCGCUUUUAUCCCGAAGGUAAAAGGAAUGGAUAAACUUCGACUCAUAUGGCUUGUUCUACUACUUGUUGAAUCAUACACAAAGGCACGUUUUAUAGCACCGAGUUACCAAAUGCGUUUUCGUGCAAUCAAUGUACUAUCAACUCAUAGUAACAACUCAUAUCUCUAGGUUUGAAGAAUAUAAGAUAUUAUCGUCUCAUGAUCACUCGUGAUAAAAUCCAUGAAGUGAUUCCAAUGAGCGCGGGUUGAAUCCAAUACUCAGAACUUAUGAGCACUCAUGAGUGUUGUAGCCCUUUGUCCAACACCUUAGACCUCUACAAGCCAACCCAUGACAGUCUUAAUUCAUAUCUACUUCCAACAUAUGACCGACUGUGGAUGGUUUGAAUAACUUAGUCAUUCCGGAAGAAUAACCUAGUUUAUUCGGGAAGUCAAAACAUGCAAAGUGAAACACAAUAAUAAUUGAAUCCAAUAUGGUAUCAAAACUUUGAACAUAAAUAAAACACCUUUUAUUUAUCACCAUAUGAUUACACAUUAUUCAUUGUAUACUGUUUCAGCUAUCAACUUUAUUCUUGAAUUUAAAACAAUAGUUGUCCCAUGCUCCAAGCAUGUACACUAUGUUUUCUUAAACACUAGUCAUGCCACACACCAAGUAUGCAUACUAUGUUUGUCUAUGAUCUUUACUUUGUGAACUAGAUCAAUUGAACAUAACUUCAAUGAUUCUCUUUUCACACUCCCAAAUCCUUACUGCAAAUGCAAGAAUUCCAAAUUCAUGCCAUUUACUGAAAUCUGUUAGAUUCUAAACUUAUAUGCAUUGAUCCUCUUGUAAUGAUUAUGCACAAAGUCAGAAAGACUUGACAACAAUCAUUACAGAGUAUUCCAAAGGAGAUCAGCUCCUUGGAAACAUCCUUCUUGCAUUAAGUUUCCUAAUCUUAAACAGAUUGAAAAUUCUAACUUUGAAACAUUUCCAGAUUCCAUUUUGACUAUCACUUCUGAACAAGAGUUGCCUCCUUACAGAUUAUGUCAAUAUGGUCCUUCCAGAAUUAUCACUAUACUUCCAACUGUCCUUGAGCAACCAAUCUUUGGUAAACCUUAGAUUGUCCUCGACAAUUGUUUAAUCCUUUUAGUCAUAUCCAGUUCUAAACCUUUUCCCUUCUUAAUGCCCCAGGCAUUUGGAAAAUUUUAGAACGGAUGAAUAUAGCACAUGUAAUCGAUCCUAUAUCCGAAGCAUAUGGGACACGAUUCAUGAUGUCUCACAUAAAGACUAAACCAGUCUUUUGCUAUAACAUUUCCAUUUCAAUUUGCCAAGUUCUCAUAAUUCAGAUUAUGAAAAGGGAUGCCGUAAUCAUAAUCGAAUUUUAGAACGCAAAUAAUGGACCCAUAUACAGAAUUUCCUUAUGUUGAGCCAUUCCAACAUGAAAUUCAUAUAUAUCCUUGACUAAAUGAUUAAAACCUCACGAUCUAAGCUUAUAGAUUUGAGAUGAAGUAUAAUUUCCUCUCCCUUAAUUAUAGCAAAACAACUUUUUCCCAAUUGAAACUUUUGUUUUCUAUAAUUAACAUUGCUAACUUGCAAUACUUAUCAUAAUUAUCAUGCUCCCACUAACAUGAUGAUUAUUAGCAUAACACUUAUGCUCCCACUAGCUUUGACAUGUACUCAGAAAUCAGCUGGACUUCUAGAAAUCAAUACUUCAUUGACUUUCUUACCAAAGUUCAGAUUUCUGAUGCUAGAUUGUUUUGAUAAAACUUUAUCAAAAUCAUACACCUUCCCUUAGAUAGCACACUUGUGUAUCUAAACAAUUAUGAAGAGGGAUGCCGUAAUCAUAAUGUUUAGACCUUUUUGCCACUUCUCACAAGUCCAAAUUAGUGUGCCGGUUAACCACACGCGCUCCACUAACGACUUUGAGAAUGCAAAUAUCACAAUUGCUAUCUAGCUAAAAUCUACUUAGUGAAAGUGUUUCCUCACCAUCAUUUUCAUGAAUCGGAGAGAAACCUUAUGACACUUAGAUUUAAUGGUGUAUGUGUUCUUAUCCAUGUGAAUUGUCAAAAUCAUAGUCACAAGACAAGGAUAAUGACAAAUCCAAACUCAUAUGGACUGAACUCAAUCUUAAUUUCUUGCCACCUGGCAGCUCAAAGGCUUGCCAUUGCUUCCAAGUUGUUGUGCAACCAAUUAAGAACUCUAAGAACUCAUAUGCAAAGCCAACUUUAAUUGGAAUGGGCAUAGAAUAUGUCAACACGAUAGGUUAUAAACCUCAAGUCGUGUGCUAGUGAAGAACUUCAGGUUUUAUUCUUGAUUAGUUCUUGAGACUUUCAAGACCUUUAAGACUCCCACUGUCCUCUUGACAUAUAAGACUUUCUUGUCAGAUAUUCAAGAGAUAAUGUGGAUUCUAAUCAAGACAAACACUUCACACAAUUGGCCUUAGUUGGUCUUUGUUUUUAUCCAAAACAUCACAACUUACCAAUUUCAAAUGUACAAGAGUAGAAAAAUUUUACUCUUACAUUUGAAAAGUGUUUUAAACCUUCUUUAAGACAUGUCACUCAAGUUACAAUCUUGGAGUAUGACUCUAAGACUUUUAUUGGAACGAAGUAUGACUCAUCUUCUUGAUUUAACCAUUCCAACAAUUCAAGAUUCCUCUUCUUAGUCAUAAGAAUGCACUAGGAUUUCCUUAGAGAACUAAUUGUGAUAUGGUUUCUUAAUCAUUAAGAUGAUCACAACAACUGAUACUAAAGUACUCUCCCAUCUUUCCAGAUUUGAGAAACUUUUAUCCUUCUACCUAAGUUGAUUCUUCUUAUUCGCUCUCCAUACAUUGGAUCUUUUCCAAUGUUUCAGAACUUAUACUUAAGCUUGUAAGUAUAACCAUAUUUACUAAACCUUAGUAAAUAAUGACGAACAGUCUUAUCGAUCUUUUGUGGUGGACUUAACCAGUGCACAAGAAUGUGUACUCGAUCCCUUAGUCCUUCACUUGACUCACACAUCCAUGUGAACAAGUAGUUAGUCUUAAUUUUUUUUUCCAAUGCUUGAAGGUUCUCAUUCAUCAUGCUAUACAACUUGCAUGAUUCCAAAUUUCUAUCCAACUGAACCUUGGGUGACGAGAGUCUUUCCUUAUUUGGUAAAUUUAGACAUUACCAAAAAUUAGAGAAUCAAAUUCACUUUCCAAUAUUGCUAUCAGUGGAAUCUUAUAAGCAACAAUUUUCCACAAACGCCAUUGUAAGGAUACAUAAAAUAAAUAAAAUCAAAAUUUCCUAUUAUUUUAAAACUUUGCGGAAAAACUUAUCCUUACAAUCCAUAUGAAAACUUGUUGUUAUCUAUUCCUAAAAAAUAUCUCAUAACUCCUAAAAAGUAGCUCAAGAAUCCGAUCUUCAAACUAUGCGAUAGAAAUCCAUCUACGCGAUCAGAUUCAACAUAUUCUUUCUUUAAGUUCCUUCACUUUUCUUUGAUUUUUAAAACAUCACCAUGUGACCCAGUCACAUCAUGUAUCAAGAAUCUCAGAAUAGAAACUUAGCAGAGUUAGAUAGUAGACUUUACUUGAAGUAGAGUUUAACUUAUUGACUUUAACACCUUUAGGUAAAUUGGCAGCUUCGCAACCAAUGCCCAUUCCUUUGGCAAUUUAACAUAUGGAUGCUUUGGUAAUGGAACAUGGGACUAUCACAGACUUAGCCUUUCUCUUUACCAUUUGGUCAACCGAGUUGACUAUGGCCGAUCCCUUUCCAUUGGGAAGAGAGAGAUUUACUGGAUAUCCAAUGUCAUCAUUGUCAAUGUCCAUAAUGUUUUGGAAGUUGAUCUUAGCAAAUAGACAAGAUCAUUAUGGGUCUUGUCAUAUUCUGUUUCAUAGGAGUCCCAAAGGAACUCACUAUGUGACUUAGAAAGUAGUUGAGCCACGAACUUUCUCAAGACUUUGACACCCAACUCUCCCGGCUUGUCAAUAUGUGACUACAUCUCCAAGAUGUGAUCAUACAUAGACCUUUGCUUGCCAAUAGGGCUUGAGUGACCUUAAACUUUUCAAGAACUUGUGGGUUAGGGAGAAUAAUUGGAGGAGGUGAAAGAAGUAUGAUUUCCAUGGGACAUCAUCUUCAUUUAGGAAAGCUUGUUUCAAGAGAUUUGGGAAGAUCAUAAAUGUCUAAACCAGACAUCUUUUGGGAGAUAUUCAAGAUAGUUGAUUUAAAGUCCUUAAUAUAACACCCAAUAUGAAAUAUUAAGGCUAGGACCCAACAAAAUACUUUUAUAACUUGGAAGAGGGAUGUCGUAAUCCAAGCUAUAAAAUAUUUGAAGGUAGGUGAAUGACGAUUCACCAAUUUCCACCAAGAUAAACGAAAUGUAUUAUUAGGUUUUAAUUGGUUUUGAAACUCCUAGAUCUUUGAGAUUCAUUGAACUGUUCAAAGGCAUGUUUCAAUCUCGAGUGUGCCCUUCAGGUUUUGUGACUGGGAUGCCGAGGAUCACAAAACAAGGUGUGAAGUAACCAUGCAAAUCACUUGGUACCCUUAAUAAAUUACCCCUCAAUCGAUGUGCCGGUUAACCACACACGCUCCAUCGAUACUAUGAUAAAUAUUAAGUCACCCUUUACCUACCUUGUUAAGUCCAAGUUAGUGUGCCGGUUAACCACACACGCUCCACUAACGACUUAGACAAAGUGUAAAGUGUAAUUUCAUGGGUUAGCACCUUAUUCACAUUUUUCCUAAGUAACUAAGAUUGGGUAUUUAUAAAAGGUUUAGUUACUUAGUAUUUAUCAUUAAUACUUUUUUUGAAGGGAUAAUUCUAGUCCUUGUCCUAUCUGUUCGGCUAACGACCCUCCACCGGUCAAGGAAGCGGUGGGUGAGAGUGGACACCCAUUAAGCUUCCAUUUUAUAGGCAUUAACCUUAUACUCACCUUAUAGACCGGCUUCGUGAAUGAGGCGUACUAGCGGUAAGACUGACUUUACUCUUAUACAUAUAUAUAUUAUUAACUUAUAAUAUUAUAAAGUAUAAGGGUUGAAUUUUAACUUUUAAAAUUCUAAGGGCUAACUUGGAAUUAAAGUAUUCAUAAGUGAAAACUUUACAAAUUCCAAAACUUGAGGGCAAGUUUUGAAACUAUUCAAAACUAAUUAUUCCCAUAACUUAUGUGUUUAAAGUAGUUUUAAUCCAAAAACUCUUCAAGUUCCAUAACUUGAGGACAAGUUAUGGAAGACUUUAAACUAAUAAAAGAAUGUAACUUUUCUUUAUUUUGUAACUUAUGUAAUUAAUUAAGGUUACACAUUUUAUUACUUAAUGAAGUGACUCUUGAACCUCCAUAACUUGAGGACAAGACUCUUCAUUUUUUGUAACCAUUGCCAACUUUUAUGAGUUUUAUAAAACUUAAAUGUAACCUUUCAUGUAACUUGAGGACAAGUUACAUAAACACAUUUACGAUCAUCUCUUAGAUUAAAAUGGAUUGAAAACACAUAAUCAAUUAACUUAUCUAUUAAUCUAAGCAACUCAUAUGAACAAAGAUAAUUCACAUCAAACUUUUUCAUGUGAUUAGCAUAACUUUUAAACUAAUACAAAACAUGAAUAUAUUGACAAUUAUCUUUGAAAUUGGAUUAGCAUGAACAUUACCACAUCAAAAACAAGUUUACAAGUUCAAAACAGGUUAGGGUAAUGUUCCUAGUCCAAUUCCAGCCAAGAAACACGAAGAUAUGUUGUCUGGAGGCCAAACUCGUCGAGCUCUUUAUGGAACUCGUCGAGUUCAUGCUCUAAUACAUGAACUCGUCAAGUUUUCUACCAGAACUCGUCGAGUUUUAUGGUCUGGACAGAUCCAACUUUGAAAAAACACAUUUGCAUCAAGUAUAAGAGAAAGCAAGCCUAGGCUCUGAUACCACUGUUGGGUUUAGAGCAAUCUAACACUCCUAAGUUUAGAUGCAACCCUAAAUACCUUGGAUCUAUGUUUUCUCUAUUAUACAUGCAAAUAUGAAAUUUCCAAGGUAUUCAUCCUAACUAGCAUAAUAACAUUGAUUCAUAUGAAUAUAUCAAGUUAGAAUUACAUACCUCUUUGAUGUAGAAUGUCUUCAUGAAACUUGAGUGCCUAGUGCCCCAAGGGUGACACCUCAAAUGGUUCACACACCACCAAAUACACUUGGAAUAUAUUAGAGAGAAAUCCACACUUCAUAAAAUUGGCUAGCCCUUUCACAUAUACUCUAGUGCCGAUUCUGUCACCAAUAAGAUCUUUAUAUAGUGUCAUAAUUAGGGUA